AGCAGCCGCGGUAAUUCCAGCUCCAAUAGCGUAUAUUAAAGUUGUUGCAGUUAAAAAGCUCGUAGUUGAAUUUCGGGGUUAGUAGGUUGGUCAUGCCUCUGGUAUGUACUGGUCUCACUGAUUCCUCCUUCCUGAUGAGCCGUAAUGCCAUUAAUUUGGUGUUGCGGGGAAUUUGGACUGUUACUUUGAAAAAAUUAGAGUGUUUAAAGCAAGCUAACGCUUGAAUACAUUAGCAUGGAAUAAUGAAAUAGGACGUUCGAUCCUAUUUUGUUGGUUUCUAGGAUUGACGUAAUGAUUAAUAGGGAUAGUUGGGGGCAUUAGUAUUCAAUUGUCAGAGGUGAAAUUCUUGGAUUUAUUGAAGACUAACUACUGCGAAAGCAUUUGCCAAGGAUGUUUUCAUUAAUCAAGAACGAAAGUUAGGGGAUCGAAGACGAUCAGAUACCGUCGUAGUCUUAACCAUAAACCUAUGCCGACUAGGGAUCGGAUGAUGUUAAUUUUUAUGUACUCAUUCGGCGCCUUA
rnacentral:rRNA from 1 species